CUGUACUUUGAUUGUACUAGUUCUUGCACACAACUGGGAACCGUCUCUGUGAAACCAAAUUUCAGAAUAUGUAUUGUAGAAAUUGCUGACUGAUUAAUAUUGUCCUUUGAAGAUCAGUUCAUUGCCUGUUUCCUACAAAGUAGGUUUGUGGGUUAUGGUCAUGACCACAGGAUGGUCUGCUGUAAAAUGCCUAAUUUAAUAACCAGUCGCCUCAUGGAUACUACUGUUAUUACAUUCUCCACACUCUUAUUUUGGACUGCUGAGAAACGAG